rnacentral:rRNA from 1 species
GAUGAACGCUGGCGGCGUGCUUAACACAUGCAAGUCGAACGGAGUUCCUUGGAUAGAGGCUUCGGCCAAUUGAAUUGGAACUUAGUGGCGGACUGGUGAGUAACGCGUGAGGAACCUGCCUUUCAGAGGGGGACAACAGCUGGAAACGGCUGCUAAUACCGCAUGACACAUUUGGGUGGCAUCACUUGAAUGUCAAAGAUUUUAUCGCUGAAAGAUGGCCUCGCGUCUGAUUAGCUAGUUGGUGAGGUAACGGCCCACCAAGGCGACGAUCAGUAGCCGGACUGAGAGGUUGAUCGGCCACAUUGGGACUGAGAUACGGCCCAGACCCCUACGGGAGGCAGCAGUGGGGAAUAUUGGGCAAUGGACGCGAGUCUGACCCAGCAACGCCGCGUGAAGGAAGAAGGCUUUCGGGUUGUAAACUUCUUUUAUCAGGGAAGAGUAGAAGACGGUACCUGAUGAAUAAGCCACGGCUAACUACGUGCCAGCCGCCGCGGUAAUAC